rnacentral:misc_RNA from 1 species
GAAAUGCGAUAAGUAGUGUGAAUUGCAGAAUUCAGUGAAUCAUCGAAUCUUUGAACGCACAUUGCGCCCCUCGGUAUUCCGUGGGGCAUGCCUGUUCGAGCGUCAUCUACACCCUCAAGCUCUGCUUGGUGUUGGGCGUCUGUCCCGCCUCCGCGCGCGGACUCGCCCCAAAUGCAUUGGCAGCGGUUCCUUGCCCCCCUCUUUGCGCAGCACAUUGCCAUUCGAGGCGGCGGCGGCCCGCGUCCAACAAGCUCAACCCCCCGUCUUUGACCUCGGAUCAGGUAGGGAUACCCGCUGAACUUAAGC